rnacentral:rRNA from 1 species
AUUGAACGCUGGCGGCAUGCUUUACACAUGCAAGUCGAACGGUAACAGGGAGCUUGCUCCGCUGACGAGUGGCGAACGGGUGAGUAAUAUAUCGGAACGUACCCAGAAGUGGGGGAUAACGUAGCGAAAGUUACGCUAAUACCGCAUACGAUCCACGGAUGAAAGUAGGGGACCUUCGGGCCUUAUGCUUUUGGAGCGGCCGAUAUCUGAUUAGCUAGUUGGUGAGCUAAAGGCUCACCAAGGCGACGAUCAGUAGCUGGUCUGAGAGGACGACCAGCCACACUGGACCUGAGACACGGUCCAGACUCCUACGGGAGGCAGCAGUGGGGAAUUUUGGACAAUGGGCGCAAGCCUGAUCCAGCAAUGCCGCGUGAGUGAAGAAGGCCUUCGGGUUGUAAAGCUCUUUUGUCAGGGAAGAAACGGCUGUGGCUAAUAUCCACGGCUAAUGACGGUACCUGAAGAAUAAGCACCGGCUAACUACGUGCCAGCCGCCGCCGUAAUAC